AGCUUUGCACAGUGGUAGUAUCAUAGCCAAUGAGUUUUAUCCAAGGUGCGAUUAUUGCUAAUUGAAAACUUCUCCCAAUACCCUGCCAUGACGACUUGAGAUAUAGUCAGCAUUGGCAAUUUUUUACAGUCUCUAUGGAGA
ensembl:snRNA U4 U4 spliceosomal RNA